AGACACCAGCGUGUGAGCAGGACUUUUAUUUUGGCGUGGUGAUGUGACGUCAUGAGGAUGCGCCGCGCUCCUGCAUCUGCUGUGAUUCGAUUCAAGAAAGAACUGAGUGUCCAAAAAACUCCUGCUGAAGCGUCUGAGAUCCACGUGACACACUGAUGAAGAUGAUGUUUGUUAAAGAGGAGAGUGAAGACAUCAGGAUUGAAGAAGUGUUCAGUCUGAAACAAGAUCCUGAGGAACAAACAGACCACCUUGUGUUGAAAAAAGAGAAAGAAGUACUCAAUGACAUUGAAGAGAAAGAUCAAUAUGAUAAGCUGCAUGAUUUCACAGCUGGAAACAAAUAUUUUAGGUGUUCACAUGCUGAAAAGAUUUCCACACGAAAAAAAGCUCAAAAGACUGGAAAAACUAGAAGUGAUUUCACUUGCUUUCGGUCUGGAAAGAGUUAUGAUCAACAAGGAAAUCUUAAAGUCCACAUUAAGGACACCCCUUUCAGAUGCCAACAUUGUGGAAAAAGUUUCACUUAUAAAGUAAGUCUUAACAGGCAUAUAAAAAUUCACACUGGAGAAAAGCCGUACACCUGCCAACAAUGUGGAAAAAGUUUCACUUAUAAAGUAAGUCUUGACAGGCAUAUAAAAGUUCACACUGGAGAAAAGCUACACCUGCCAACAAUGUGGAAAAAGUUUCUGUCAUCAAGCAAACCUUAGCCACCACAUGAGAAUUCACACAGGAGAGAAGCCUUACACCUGCAAACAGUGUGGAAAAAGUUUCUGUCUUCAAGGAAACCUUAGCCACCACAUGAGAAUUCACACAGGAGAGAAGCCUUACACCUGCCAACAAUGUGGAAAAAGUUUCCGUCAACAAGGAAGCCUUAGCCACCACAUGAGAAUUCACAUUGGGGAGACCCCCUUUAGUUGCCAACACUGGGAAAAGUUUCACUUAUAAAGGAAGUCGUGACAGGCAUAUAAAAAUUCACACUAGUGAAAAGCCAUACACCUGCCAACACUGUGGAAAAAGUUUUGCUCAGCAUGCAAACCUUAAAGUCCACAUGAGAGUACACACUGUAGAGAGUCCCUUCACCUGCCAACAAUGUGGAAAACGUUUCCGUCAUCAAGGAAGCCUUAGC